ACUUAGAGGGCAAGGUACGGUGGUCCGAAGUGGUCGCGGCCGCCUCUCUCCGGCUGGUCAGGGAGUGGGAUCCCCGCGGCCGGGCCUCGGGUAUCCUCCGGGGAUCCAUAGGGUUGUUUGGCGGCGGCUCUUUCCCGGGCCGAGCCGCUUAGGCUACGGGCGCCGCCUUGCGCGGCGGGAAUGGCGCCUUGCAGGCCCGGGAGGAGAGCGCUCCUGGCCGCCUCCGUGACGUCGCCCCCGGCCUCCGUGACGUCACGACCUCUGGCUCUAGAGUGCUCAGUCAGAAUGACUUAAGCAUCUACCUGCUAGGACCAGCAGUACUGUUCAUCCCGCUUCACGAACUUCCAAGAACAUCUACAAUUAGAAUUCGAUGAAAUGAUAAAGCCACAAACCCUGACAGAUGCCCACAACGAACGAAAAAAUGUGGAAAGAUAAGAAUAAGGAUGCUGAAUGUACCUUCUCUGCCGAGCAAGGCUAUUAGCGCAUGAGGGAAAGCAGGUGCUCCAUGAACCGCGGUGGUCUACUCCGUCUAGCUUAUCUGUUCGCAGAAAUUAUACACAUAAUUGGGUUGUCAAAGAAAAAAUAAAACCCUGAGUUUUAGGUACAA